rnacentral:misc_RNA from 1 species
ACCUUUGCACUACUUCUAUGCUUCUUUUUGACUUCAAACCAUCCUGAGCCCUGAUCAUCCAAUGCCUCUCCAAUGUUCUCCAUCAACACACAAACAAGUUGCUUCUAAGAAGAAAAUGAAACCAAUAAUCUACAAAAGGGUAUAAUUAGAUUUCUCAUAAAAAGUGCUAAAUUUACAAAACGAGAAGUACUAAAAUUCUCUCAAAUUGUGCAACAAAAUGCAAACUUGAUUAAUCGUUCACGAUCACGACGAUCAAAAUUGAAACGGAUAAUGAGUAAAAUGG